UAGACUCUUAUACUUAUAAUAAAGACAAAGUUAUAAGAUCUAGAAUCUGUAUCUAGAUCUAUUCCCAUUUGUGAUUUAUACACUACAGAUUUAAUGUUUCUGAUGAGCAAUACUACUAUCUACAGCCAUGCCCAUUAACAUAGGCCCUACUCAUGUACUAGAUCUAGCUCUUUUGAUCACAACUCAUAUCUUGCCUAGAUAUAAACAACUGUACUAGAUUGGACUAGACAUUCUAAUCGGUUCUAUUUUCGUUUUUCAUUAUUCUCACAUAUUCUAGUAGGCAAUAGGUACCAAAUUGUGCUAUUUAUUCACUGUAGAUCUAGAUCUUAACUUUUCUCUUAACUACCAAAGAAGUACACAAAGGAUGUUGAAAGGUACCCAAAGGGCUCUAAUUGCUACCAUUCAAUGUGUGGAUUCAAGUAUUUACCCAGAUACUGCCACAAUAUGCUCUUAUUGUUUUCAAAGGAGUUUUCAAACAGUGCCAGAAGCUGUAUAAAUACAUUUAACAAUGUAUAUUUCAAGAAGAAAUGAUGCUUUCUUAUUUCUAAGAGUUUAUCAAUAGGAUGAAUGCCACAAAACUCACUUGUUAUGCCAGAAACUCUUCCUACGAAACUUCCAUACUAGAAUUUGUCCAGUGCCUGUGAUCUUCUGAGUUGAAGGAGAAUGUGCUCCAUAAUACCUACUAGGAGCUUGCUGAUAGCUGGAAGUUCAUGAAUACUAUGUUGUCCUUGAUUUGAUGAUUCUGAAAACUACCAUUUCUGAAGACUUGAGCAUUAUUUCUAUAAUUUAAAAAAAUCUUUUCAAGAAAUAUUGUGUUUAUAAUAUUAAGAAAGUGAAGAUAAUAUUGUUCUUACUAAUAUUAUUGACUUAUUAAAAUAGAAAGCACAUCAUUACCAAUAUUCACUUGUCAGUAAAUGUUAGCAUUAUUCAAUUUUUAGUUACAUGUUCAAACUAAUAAAUUUUAUUAUUUAACUCAAUGAGUGCGGAGCGUCUAUCCCAUAGACGGUCUGUCUGCCCUAAACGCACGGAACGUCUAUCCCAUAGACGUUCUUACCCUACCUUUGUUUCGUUGCAUUUUUAAAUUAAAAAUUUUAACUAACAACAGUGGAACUAUUUUUAAUUUAUAAAAAAGUUCUUCAUCCUUUGUUUACAUAGAAAUUAGAAGCUUUUGGCUUUAUUUAGACAUUUAUUUAUUACUUUUUUUACAAUGUAAAAAAACGUCGCCAUGACUACGCUAGUUCAAGACACACCCACAAUGUUGACUACUGAAGAAACUUUAUAAUUAUUCUAAAAAUUAUCACAAAUAAAUAGUAAUAAUGAAGAAUUUGAUCUAGAUUAGAUUCAGGUAGGUCUAAAUUUAGCGUAUUUAUAUGAUUAUAUCUAUAUUAUUAGUAUUUAGAUCUAAAUCUAUUAUUGUCAGUAGGCUAGGUGUAGUCUGUAGAUCGAGAUUGACUAGAUCUAAGCUUUUAUCUCUAGACUUGGACUCUAGAUCUAGAUAUAUCUUUAGAUCUAAGCUUCUGGUAAAUAAAAAGAAAGGAAAUGGUAGAUCUACAUCAAAUAAUCAUCCACUGUACUGUGGGGUGGGCAUUUUUUCCCCAUUUUCUUUUUUUUUUUUUAGUAUUGUUUAUCUGUAAAAAUCUACAACAUCAUGGCUAUGCUUGUCCAAGACACACCCACAAUGUUUACUACUGAAGAAGCUUUAUUAUUGUUUUAUUUAUACUUCUUUGAAUUGUAAUAAUGAAGAUCUUGAUCAAGAUUUAGCAUAGGAUGAAGCAGACUUGGACAUUAUUAGCAUUUAGAUUUAGAUCUAGAUCUAGUAUUGCCUUAUAUGCUUAGGCUUAGGCCUUAGCCUUAGACUAGGGCUAGGUCUUGAAUGUAGAUCAAGGUUGACUAGAUCUAUGCUUUUAUCUUUACACCUUUGUAGAUUCCUAUAGAUCUAACCCUUAGAUAAAUGAAAACAACAGAAAUGGCAGAUCUAAAUCCAAUAUUCAUCCACCAUGCUGGGCCUUUUCUUGGUAUAUUUUCUAGCAAUUUUUUUUGGUAAAAAUCAUCACCAUCACUAUACUGGUUCAAGUUGCGCUCCAAAAGGUUUACUACUAAAUAAAAGUAAAAUAUAAAACUAUUCUAAAUCCAUAAUUUAUCACAAAGGAACAGUAAUAAUGAUCUAUUCGAUGUCUAAAUCUUAGGUAAAAUGAAUUAGGAUUUUUAUUGUCCUUCAUCUAGUUAGAGAUUUAGGCUUUGAUCUCUCGCUAGCCUAUGUCUUGCACUGGUCUAGUAUUAGAAUGAAAGAUGUUCUAUGCAAAUAAAAAGAAGACAAAUCUAGAUCUAUAUCCCAUUGAUUCAAAUGUACAUAAUAUUUGAGUGCAUUUGGUUGAUAGAUUUAGUGCUGGUAUCUAUUGUUAUUGGUAGUAAUGAAAAGCGCAAUAAUUUUCACUUUUUUUUCUGACUAAAAAACCAGGUAAAAAUAAUAAUAUAAUCAAUGAUUCAUCAUCUUUUAUUGACUAUUUUAUCACAUUUCUUUUUGAAAAUAUCACAAAGGAACAGUAAUAAUGAUCUAUUUGAUGUCUAAAUCUUAGGUAAAAUGAAUUAGGAUUUUUAUUGUCCUUCAUCUAGUUAGAGAUUUAGGCUUUGAUCUCUCGCUAGCCUAUGUCUUGCACUGGUCUAGUAUUAGAAUGAAAGAUGUUCUAUGCAAAUAAAAAGAAGACAAAUCUAGAUCUAUAUCCCAUUGAUUCAAAUGUACAUAAUAUUUGAGUGCAUUUGGUUGAUAGAUUUAGUACUGGUAUCUAUUGUUAUUGGUAGUAAUGAAAAGCGCAAUAAUUUUCACUUUUUUUCUGACUAAAAAACAAGGUAAAAAUAAUAAUAUAAUCAAUGAUUCAUCAUCUUUUAUUGACUGUUUUAUCACAUUUCUUUUUGAAAAUGCUGUAAAUAGUCUAAAUAUGCUGUUUCAACAGUAAUACAAAGAACAAAAUCUAAAUUUAGGUCUCAAAAGUUCUAAAGUUGGCAUCCAUUUUUUUUUCUGAGUGUCAUAUUAUUUAGAUUAUAAUUUGUAUCUUAUAUUUAAAUAGAAAGAUGUUUACAUUUUCACAUUCUCCAUUCAUUUACCUUUACUUUGAUACCAAAUUUGUUACUAUAGCAUCAUUGGUACUUAAACAAUAAAUUUUUGUUUUAGCCAUG